rnacentral:piRNA from 1 species
GGAAUGUUUACACAAGCCAGG